GAGAUUCGCAUGCGCAGUGCCCACGCGAGCGGCCGCCUCGCCCCUCCUGGUCAGGGUGGGGGCGUACCAAGAGGACAUCCAACGCAGGGCCGAAGGGGAAAAAUAACACCGCGGGAGGAGAACCAUCGACCCCGUCUCCCAGAGGAAGAUGUGUCCCUCCUCCAGCCCAAAGCCAACCCCUCCACUGUGCUCCAGAUCCCCUCUCAUCUCUCACUGCUUCCUCAGUCAUCCUUCUCGGGCUUUCCUGGUGGUGCGGUGGUCAAGAAUCUGCCUGCCAACGCAGGGGACACGGGUUCGAGCCCUGGUCUGGGGAGAUCCCACAUGUCGCGGAGCAACUAAGUCCGUGCACCACAACUACUGAGUCUGCGCUCUAGAGCCCACAUGCCGCAACUACUGAGCCUGCAUGCUGCAACUACUGAAGCCCAUGCACAACAAGAGAAGAGCCCAUGCUCCACAACAAGAGAAGCCCCCGCAAUGAGAAGCCUGCGCACUGCAACGAAGAGUAGCCCCUGCUCGCCGCAACUAGAGAAAACCUGCACGCAGCAACGAAGACCCA